rnacentral:rRNA from 1 species
CAGCAGUAGCCGCGGUAAUACAGAGGGUGCAAGCGUUAAUCGGAAUUACUGGGCGUAAAGCGCGCGUAGGUGGUUUGUUAAGUUGGAUGUGAAAUCCCCGGGCUCAACCUGGGAACUGCAUCCAAAACUGGCAAGCUAGAGUAUGGUAGAGGGUGGUGGAAUUUCCUGUGUAGCGGUGAAAUGCGUAGAUAUAGGAAGGAACACCAGUGGCGAAGGCGACCACCUGGACUGAUACUGACACUGAGGUGCGAAAGCGUGGGGAGCAAACAGGAUUAGAUACCCCGGUAGUCCCUGUCUCUUAUAC